ACUCCUACGGGAGGCAGCAGUGGGGAAUAUUGCACAAUGGGGGAAACCCUGAUGCAGCCAUGCCGCGUGUGUGAAGAAGGCCUUCGGGUUGUAAAGCACUUUCAGUAGGGAGGAAGGUAGUGUAGUUAACACCUGCAUUAUUUGACGUUACCUACAGAAGAAGCACCGGCUAACUCCGUGCCAGCAGCCGCGGUAAUACGGAGGGUGCGAGCGUUAAUCGGAAUUACUGGGCGUAAAGCGCAUGCAGGCGGCCUGUUAAGUCAGAUGUGAAAGCCCGGGGCUUAACCUCGGAAUUGCAUUUGAAACUGGCAGGCUAGAGUCUUGUAGAGGGGGGUAGAAUUUCAGGUGUAGCGGUGAAAUGCGUAGAGAUCUGAAGGAAUACCAGUGGCGAAGGCGGCCCCCUGGACAAAGACUGACGCUCAGAUGCGAAAGCGUGGGGAGCAAACAGGAUUAGAUACCCUGGUA
rnacentral:rRNA from 1 species